AACGUAGGAGACAAACGUUAUCCGGAGUUACUGGGCGUAAAGGGCGUGUAGGUGGUAUCGUAAGUCUGGCGUGAAAUUUCUCGGCUUAACCGAGGCAGGUCGUCGGAUACUGCGAGGCUAGAGGACGGUGGAGGCGUGUGGAAUUCCGGGUGUAGUGGUGAAAUGCGCAGAUAUCAGGAAGAACACCCGUGGCGAAAGCGGCUCUCUGGAACGGUACUGACGCUGAGACGCGAAAGCGUGGGGAGCGAACAGG
rnacentral:rRNA from 1 species